AUGAUGUCUGGAUACCAGGCGAGCCAUUCCAACACUCACGGCCGCUUGGGCCAUCCCAGCAACACAUCCUUUCCAGCCCGAAUUCCAGGCUGGACCAAACGCACCUUCCUGAAUGAGGCCAAGAGCCUCAAGCGCCUCCACACCCGGAGUGGCUCUGGCUUGGAGUCCAGCAGCUGCAGCAGCUGCUCUGAGCAGCCCUUCAACCCCACUAGGCUUCCGCUAGGGAGAAACUGCAUGGGCCGGCCCUGCUACUCCAAGUACACAGAAAAAAGUCACCUGGUGAACCCCAAGGUGGCCAGAAAGUCCGCUUUCCAGGGUAGCCCCCGCUGCCUGCUCUGUAAGGAUUGUCCCUCGGACUCCUCCAGCCCCACGUUCCUGGACCAGCUCAUCGAAGGCAUCAACUGCCUGGACCGAUCCACCAAUGCCUGUAACAGCUGCCACAAGACAUUGCAGAGCCUGCCAAAGCUUGCAGCCAACUACCUGGAAAGGGCUGCCAGCUCCCUCAACCUAGACCACCAGGACCACCCCUUGCCCCAAAGUUACUCCAGCCCCAGCACCAGCGUGACCAUCCCAAACAACUCCACCACCAGCACCUGCAUGGUGCCAUCCCUCAGGGGUGCCAGUGCCCUGCAGUGCCUGGAUGACUCCACCAACACGAGUUAUCCGUGCAGGUCUCAUUGCCAGAACUUCACUAUCGCACUGCCGCGGGGGCCACGUACAAAGCUGCCUGAGCUCCCUUUGCUUAGCAAUGGGCUCUUUGCCUUAGGUUGUCUGCCCAAGGUCUGGGAAGCAAUCUGCUCAGGCUGGAGUGCCCCUGAGGCCAUCUCCAAAACCGCCAAGCUGGUGGUGA
rnacentral:sRNA from 1 species